rnacentral:lncRNA from 1 species
UAUAGACACUACCCUAUUUAACAUCUACUUUUUUCUACCCAUGAUUUGGGACUAAACUAUUAAAUUUACUCCAAGGCAUAAACAACUAUACAACUGGAAAAAAAUGAAAGAGCGAUUUCAAAUGUUUGACAACAGCACAGGACAGUGAACCCCAAGAAAAGAAGAAAAAAUGAGAGUGAGACUUCGCGGUCCUCAGCCCCUUAAGCACCUUCUAAGGAUGAACUAGCUCAGAUUCAGAAAGAUGAAAGGAAGUCGAAGCCUCAGAUUAAAGAACAAGGUACCAACCAGUGGAGCUGGCUGCAGUGUGUUCAGCAGAAGAGGAGCAAGUGACUCGCGAUAAGCUGAGACUCGUUUCCUUGUCAGAGGUCAGCACUGACUGGAGACGAUGGUCGUCAGCCUUUAUUUUGGCCCUCAAGCCUUCGGCCAUUCAAUGGAGCCGCAGCUCCUUAGUCACACAUGAGAGUUAAGGCCUAGUGUGAUCCUCACUCUCAUGGUCCUCAGAGUCAAAGCUGCUGCAAGAUCUGGUUCAUAAAAUAUUGGCUAAGCAAU